UCUCUCCACAUUACGUCUCCAGUUGUAUCCAAACUCUGAGCCAAGCAGGGCAGGAGACCCAGGGAUGCCCUCCAGCCUCAAGGCAAGCGCUCAGCACUGGACGCAGCUCAGGGACCGCAGAAUAUUCCAACAGUUCCACUUUUCAGUAGGGAUCACAUUAAAAACAAGGAACUCAAAUGAGAAAUCAUAUUGUCCGGGGCUCCUGUACUUGAAGACUUUCAGAAGUCACGCAGAAGGAAGAUGCCUUAGAAAGUGUGCAGGUCCAUAUUAAAAAUUUCCUUUUGUGGUCACUUUUGUGUCUUGCAAACUCAUCUCCUCUGCUGCAUUAGACACAACACCUCCAUGACCAUUGGAGACCAGCGGAGCUUUCUCAUCACCUGAUCCAGCAUAAAACCUCUACAUUCUUCAGUCAGCAUUGAGCCUUGGGAGCCCUGUUGGCUUGUUUCUGUGGGCACACUGGGAUGCACAGGGGAUUCUGCAGAUACAGGAUCUGGAUAUGGCAGAACACUUUGAAAGGCAACCUCGCAAAUUUUUUUUUGGUUUGGUUUUAUACAAAACCGUCUGUGUUUUUAUAUAUAUAGGUCAGAAAAGCAAGCCUAUCCUCACCAGCCAGCACUCAGAUUCCAGAAGCAUUGCUAAAGGAUCAGUAUCAGCCUAUGAGAGGCAUAUAUCAGCUCAGGCACCUUUAAAUACAUGAAUAGUCUCAACUUCAACAUUCCUUUGAUGCACUAAACUCUGGCAGCUAAUUGGGAAAAACCUCUGUCCAAUGUUUGGAGGUGUUUCAAGACUUCCAGGAGUGAAACCUAAGGAGACUUAAGAGUCUUAAAAUGACAUUGUGACUUCUGAAAGUGUCACAGUCAUACUGGGAAAUAACAGUACAAAUUUAGUGGAAAAGAUAGCUCCACAUCACUUUCUGUGGUGUACAAAAACUGCCCUCAGAACCCUGUACCUGCACACCACCAAUUCUUGCCAUUUGCUGAACCUGUCAUUCAGAUAUGGGUCUGUGCUGCUCCAGUGGAGAUCAGGUUUUUGGUCUUCUGUCCACAGGUACAUACAGCUUGAAAGACAACCAUGGAAUGCAAAUCUACUGCCAACAGGCUGAAAUCCACUGUGCAAGGAUUAGCAUCUCAGCUGGAGGUCAUCAGCAUGUACUUUGCUACCUAUAAUCAAGUGCCUUCAUAGCUUCACAAAGGCAUUGUAUUGGAGAAAAUCUGGAUGAAACCUUGGCUCUGCUAAAGUCAACGAGAGCUUGAACUGUGAUUUUCUAGGUCUUUAUCCGCAGUACUGCUUCAUUUUUUGAAGGUCAUCUGAAAGGGCUGGGUAGUUUUAUGCUUACAUGGUAACAUGAAAAGAAUGUCAAGGCUGAAAAGCUUAAUGAUCGUUUAUUUAGAGGCACUAUUCAAGCUGAAUAAAAGUCGGUAUUUAGAGAUAUAAGAGGAUGAAUUAAUUUCUUGAAAAUGAUAGCAUUACUGUAGUAUCAGAAAAAGUGUAUUUUGUAAUAGUUUUUUCAGAAAAUGUCUGUUCUGGGACAGAAAGAAAAUUUAUUUGUUCUUAAGCUUUCACAUAUUUUAUAUUAUAAAACUGCUCUCUGUAUUAAUUUUCUUGCAAUUACAUUUAGCAGCUCCUCUUUUUUUUGAAUCAUUCACAAUAAACCCUGUCAAUAUUCUUCAUAUUUUCACUGAACAUAAGGACACAGUUAAAGCCUUUUUGCUGUCUGUGGCUGAGUAAAUCGUAUUUUUAAUGCCCCUUUCUUGGUGACUGUUGUCCUAUUAUACAAAAGGAUUGUGAGCUAAGAUUUAUCAUCCCAGGCAUUGUCUUUGCAGAGCAAAUGGAAAUUACUGAGUUUCCUGACAUUCAGGAGGGACUGCAGAGAUAUGUAUGCAUGUAUGACCUACUUCUGUAUGUACAACCCGCAUUUAAGGAGAGGAGACAUACAAGUUGCCAGAUCUGGUGAAGCUGUGGAAAGGGUACAGCCAGAGUCAGACUGGAAGUCCUGAGUCCUCAGACUUUUUGUAACAGCUAGAAUAUAACCUGUCCCAUUGCCAUGGGACUGUAUGUCUCUGGAUAGAUGUAACAAUUUAAAAUAAUUCCAUAAAGUGUCUAAAGACCGUGUUCACCUCAAGUUAAGCACAGACGGUUGGAGACUCCCUUUGGUGGGAGAACUCUGUGUCUGUGCCAUUGGAGGGUACUGCCCUCAUGGCAUUGCACAUUUUGCUGAAAUACAGCUCCUGAGUUGAUUUAGCUGAGUGUUGUAUAUAAAAAGACACGUGAUUUUGGCUUAGCUUGCUAGCUGCAAGAACAGUGUCACCAACCAUAACAAAUGAACAGUCUCACCCAGCUUAAAGAUGCCACUGUAUUUUCUCUCCGUUGCUGUUGAGGACAGAAGGAAAAUAGGAAGGCCUGAAGUCCGAAAAGGCACAGAGGCAGCAAGAAGAAUAAGUCUCUAGAGGUAAAUGAGCAGUGUAAAUUACACCUUUUCAGUUUAUUAAGUACUAAUUAAGGGUUGCAAGCCUGGCAUUCUUUUACCAGAUGUAUGGUGCCAGGAAAGCAGCCACCCGUGUGUUCAGAGGUCGAUUGCUAUCCUGUGAUUAUAGAGGAUCCAAGCGUGGCUUUUUCUUUUUUGGGUACUGCUGCCAUUUGACUAAUAUAUCCCCAGCAUGCCUGGCUGCAGCGAUCCAUUAUUCACAGGCAGUUAUUGUCCAAGAGGGCUGUGUGACUGCUUCAGGGAGCUCAUGUGAUGCCCAGGCAGCCUGCCCAUGCACUGGGAGCCUCCUGAAGGUCUGACUGACCUCAGGAGAUGGAUAAAGGUUCCCUGACCAUCCCCCAGAAGCAGUGAGAAUAAGCUGAUGCCUGGUAUAUUUAGGCAGGAUAUUCCUAACUCUGAAUGGAGCCAUCACUACUGAAUGUACUAUAAAUAUUCAUGUAGCUCCAGGUAAAAAAUACAUGUUCCCCGAAACCCUCCUCUGUGAGGAAUGUUUCAUUUGCAGCAGGUUUGUUCUGGUUUUCUUUUACAGAGAGGCAACAAACUACAGAACUUUUGCAACAUGGCUAACAUCAAGUCUGCUAUUGCUAUCAAAGCCAGGCAGAGGGUGAAGGAAGGGACCAUAAAAGGAUGACAAGGUAGCUCUGGAGGUGGUUACAGGGAGCAUCCUGCAAGCAGGAAAAUGCACAUGAAGGACCUGGUUUGAAAAUUAGUGACAAAGGUUAAGAUGAAACAGAAUCCCCUUCCGAUACAUAAGGAGAAAAGAAAGUUUGUCAAGGGAUGGGAACAGUAGAGAUAGGGAAGUGGAAUAAACACUGGGGAGCUGCACCAGUGAGGACAAGCAUCCUGUGCUGCAGAAGAGGGAGGAAAGGGAGGUGCUGUUGAGGAGGCCAGCAAGAAGAGCAAACCCUGCAGCCCUGCUCUGCCAAGGCCAAACAGAAGCAUGCUAUGAAACCUUCGUUUUGAGAUAAUGAGAACCCAAACAGGACUUUUGUCUAAGAGUCCAGCUUAGCUGUCUGGAGCUAAUUUAAUCAUGCACUAAAGUGUUUUUCUCCCACAUUCCAGCCAGAAGCAAGCAACAGUAACUUAGCCAAAGACUGAGUGGCAGUGAAGCCAAUGUGAGAUCAAGGGUGGCUAGUUGGGUCAUGCACCAUAUGAUCUGCAAGCUUCAAACAAGAAGCUGACUUACUCUUGGCUGUUCUCACCAUGCCUUUCUUUGUGCAGUCACUUUGUGUUGCUCUACAAAGGCAGCUUGUCUAAGCUGUAUUUUACCCAUACUCUGUGAAUGUUUACAAUGAGCUUCUCCCAGACAGGAAAAGAAGCAUGAGGGAUGUUCCUGCUAAAUCUCAUACCAGCUAAACCCCAGAUAUCUGAACAUCUUCAGCAUAAUUCCAAAUAAUCCACUUGACUGAACUACAGAUAAAUAGAAGAAAGGUUAGGCAAGAUUACUGGUUAUCUUUCAAUGUUUUAAAUGUUUUGCUUUCCCUCCUUCAAGUUACAUUAACAAAUGCUAAAAUUAUUCCUUCUUUCACGACUUAAGGCAGCUGUGGUAUGACAGGUUUUUCAGUUUACUGACAAAACUGUUCAAAUGAGUACAGGCACCCCCCCUCCCCCCGUUCAUUUUAAAGAUGUUUCAAACUGUUUUUCCUUUCUUACAAAGCUGAAAGCAUUGGGGAAAAAAGUUUGAGGACAGAUGAAAUUGGGUUUUAGUUUUAUGCUUGUGUACUAAUAAGAGAAGAAUGGUUAGGCUAAAAAGCUUAACAACAAAUAAUUAUUUAGGAUAAUUAUUUAGCCAAAAUAUAAGAUAGUGUUUAGAGAUAAAAGAAGAUAGAAGUUUUCAGAAAAUGUAUGUUCUGGGAAAGUAAGACUGGGAAAUGCAAAACCUCAGUGUGCACUUCCCUUAACAGUUGAACAGCAAAAAUACAUCUCAGGACAUUGCAGACCCCAAGGUAGCACCUGCAUACCCCUAUUUGGCUUCAUAAUUAACCAGGUGUUAGUGGUAGAUACCAGCAUAAAGCUGUUCUUUGGGUUGACUACAUGUAAGCUGUUGUGUGUAAACAGUAUUGUGUGGCACAAACAGGAGAAAGUGUAAUUUCAGAGCAAUCCCUCCCCAGGUGGCAUUCCUUGAUAUUGCAACCGCUUUGCUUAAUUAUGCAAAUGCUACUGAGAGUAUUAAAGGAAAAAGCUGGAAUCUCUAAUUGUGUGCAUAGACAUCCUUGUCUAUAUCCUGGAUACACGGAACUGUUAAACUGUAAUGCUUUUAAGACUAUUUGUUGUAGCAAUUAUUUUGUGCUAACUGUAUUCUGCACAAAGGAGUUAUUGAGUCUUUCUAUUUUGGAAGAGACUCCUCUAUUUUUGGCAAACGCAGUUUGAACUAUAAAAUAAUUAGUCAAUAGAUAUGUGUUUUACUCUAAUCAGGCAACGAUUUCUGCUAAAAUGUG